AUUGAACGCUGGCGGCAUGCCUUACACAUGCAAGUCGAACGGUAACAGGUCUUCGGAUGCUGACGAGUGGCGAACGGGUGAGUAAUACAUCGGAACGUGCCUAGUAGUGGGGGAUAACUACUCGAAAGAGUGGCUAAUACCGCAUGAGAUCUACGGAUGAAAGCAGGGGAUCGCAAGACCUUGUGCUACUAGAGCGGCCGAGGGCAGAGUAGGUAGUUGGUGGGAUAAAAGCUUACCAAGCCGACGAUCUGUAGCUGGUCUGAGAGGACGAUCAGCCACACUGGGACUGAGACACGGCCCAGACUCCUACGGGAGGCAGCAGUGGGGAAUUUUGGACAAUGGGCGCAAGCCUGAUCCAGCAAUGCCGCGUGCAGGAUGAAGGCCUUCGGGUUGUAAACUGCUUUUGUACGGAACGAAAAGCCCUGGGUUAAUACCCUGGGGUCAUGACGGUACCGUAAGAAUAAGCACCGGCUAACUACGUGCCAGCCGCCGCAGUAACAC
rnacentral:rRNA from 1 species